rnacentral:rRNA from 1 species
CACGUAGGGCGCAAGCGUUGUCCGGAUUUACUGGGCGUAAAGAGCGCGCAGGCGGUCGUUCAAGUCGCGUGUGAAAGCCCCCGGCUCAACUGGGGAGGGUCACGCGAUACUGAUCGACUCGAAGGCAGGAGAGGGAAGUGGAAUUCCCGGUGUAGUGGUGAAAUGCGUAGAUAUCGGGAGGAACACCAGUGGCGAAGGCGACUUCCUGGCCUGUUCUUGACGCUGAGGCGGCGAAAGCUAGGGGAGCAAACGGG